rnacentral:lncRNA from 1 species
GCAGCCAGCGACUGUUCGUAUACACAGCUUCUCGUACAGUGCUGGACUGUUUGGGACAAAUCAAAAGAAGUGUCACUGUUACUAAGCCAAGAAAAACUCAAGUUGUCACCACCAGCAUCUUUAUUAUGAAGCUUCUUAUUGGUAUAUCAACCUUUUGCCAAGUACGUUAUGAUCUACAAAAUAUAUGCAUUGAAAUACAAUGGCAGAC